rfam:Nicotiana attenuata strain TT chromosome 7, whole genome shotgun sequence.
GCACCGGUAGUCUAAUGGUAGAAUAGUAUCCUGCCAAUGUAUAGACUUGGGUUCGUUCCUGGCUGGUGCA